rnacentral:rRNA from 1 species
AACCGGAUUAGAUACCCUGGUAGUCCACGCUGUAAACGAUGCCGAUUUGGAGGGUUGUGCCCUUGAGGCGUGGCUUCCGGAGCUAACGCGUUAAAUCGACCGCCUGGGGAGUACGGCCGCAAGGUUAAAACUCAAAUGAAUUGACGGGGGCCCGCACAAGCGGUGGAGCAUGUGGUUUAAUUCGAUGCAACGCGAAGAACCUUACCUACUCUUGACAUCCAGAGAACUUUCCAGAGAUGGAUUGGUGCCUUCGGGAACUCUGAGACAGGUGCUGCAUGGCUGUCGUCAGCUCGUGUUGUGAAAUGUUGGGUUAAGUCCCGCAACGAGCGCAACCCUUAUCCUUUGUUGCCAGCGGUUCGGCCGGGAACUCAAAGGAGACUGCCAGUGAUAAACUGGAGGAAGGUGGGGAUGACGUCAAGUCAUCAUGGCCCUUACGAGUAGGGCUACACACGUGCUACAAUGGCGUAUACAAAGAGAAGCGACCUCGCGAGAGCAAGCGGACCUCAUAAAGUACGUCGUAGUCCGGAUUGGAGUCUGCAACUCGACUCCAUGAAGUCGGAAUCGCUAGUAAUCGUAGAUCAGAAUGCUACGGUGAAUACGUUCCCGGGCCUUGUACACACCGCCCGUCACACCAUGGGAGUGGGUUGCAAAAGAAGUAGUAGCUUAACCUUCGGGAGGGCGCUUACCACUUUGUGAUUCAUGACUGGGGUGAAGUCGUAACAA